UUUACAGGAAUAUUUGGACCAAAGGCCUAAUUUCAGUUUUGCCUCUGUUAAGUAGUUACAGAACUAAAAAUAAACUGUGACUGUUAAAAGUGUACCAAGAAAUAAUGCUGUUCUGUUUGUUAACUCUUUGUGUCUUUUCAGAAAUGUGACCCACAGCUAAAACAAGAUGGGGUAUAGAACAACUGGAUCACAGCAUGGAUACUGAACUGUUUUGCAGUAGCACUGAGAUGCCCUGGAUGAUACUAUGACAAAAUGGGGACAGCAGGGAGAGGGACUGUACUGUUCGAUGUUGGAAAUGAAGAGCGGUCAUCGUUCGCCAGAUCUUACAAGUGAAUAUUUCAAACCAAAGUGCAGAGCAGGAGGAGGAGGAGAGAAGUGACACUAAACUGGUGCCUUCUUCAAGCAUGGCUGACAAAGAUGGAAAUGAAGGGGAUAAAAAAAUCAAGCUCUCUACCUCCCUUUGCUGCAGCUGUGAUGAAAAGAGGUGUCCAAGUUACCGGAGUCCAGCUGAAAGGAAUCAUGAUAGCAUCCAGAGCAUUCUCUUUGGAGGACUGGUGGCUGUUGCUUGCGGGGAAAAAUCUGUGUUUUCUGUCCACCUCUGCUAUUUACCUGCAAAGUAAUCAAGAGGCAGCAGUGUAUUGGACCAGGUUCACAUCAUGAAAAUCAUGAGUCAAGCUCUAAAAGAAAUAAGUAAAUAUUAAAAUAAAAUGCAUAAUGGGGCCGUUUUUUCUUCUAUG
rnacentral:lncRNA from 1 species